rnacentral:misc_RNA from 1 species
GAUGAAGAACGUAGCGAAAUGCGAUACUUGGUGUGAAUUGCAGAAUCCCGUGAACCAUCGAGUCUUUGAACGCAAGUUGCGCCCGAAGCCUCGGCUAAGGGCACGUCUGCCUGGGCGUCACGCAUCGCGUCUCCCCCAAACCGCCAAGGCGGAGGGGAAGGAAGAUGGCUUCCCGUGCCUCACCCGGGCGCGGUUGGCCUAAAUUUGGAGCCCGCGGCACUUAGCUCUCGCGGCGAUAGGUGGUGAACAAGGCCUUGGCCGUGCAAACAACCCGCUGCGAAGCUCUAUGUCACGUGCGCUCGUCGGACCCUUUGAAGUUGCCUUCGGUGACUUAAAACCUUUGCGACCCCAGGUCAGGCGGGGCUACCCGCUGAAUUUAAGCAUAUCAAUAAGCGGAGA